rnacentral:rRNA from 1 species
AUUGAACGCUGGCGGCAUGCUUUACACAUGCAAGUCGAACGGCAGCGCGGGCUUCGGCCUGGCGGCGAGUGGCGAACGGGUGAGUAAUGCAUCGGAACGUGCCCAGUUGUGGGGGAUAGCCCGGCGAAAGCCGGAUUAAUACCGCAUACGACCUGAGGGUGAAAGCGGGGGACCGAAAGGCCUCGCGCUAUUUGAGCGGCCGAUGUCGGAUUAGCUAGUUGGUUGGGUAAAGGCUUACCAAGGCGACGAUCCGUAGCUGGUCUGAGAGGACGACCAGCCACACUGGGACUGAGACACGGCCCAGACUCCGACGGGAGGCAGCAGUGGGGAAUAUUGGACAAUGGGGGCAACCCUGAUCCAGCCAUGCCGCGUGCGGGAAGAAGGCCUUCGGGUUGUAAACCGCUUUUGUUCGGGAAGAAAUCCUCUGGGCUAAUACCCCGGGGGGAUGACGGUACCGGAAGAAUAAGCACCGGCUAACUACGUG